rnacentral:rRNA from 1 species
GGGCUCUACGGUUGACGUAGGCCCUCAAAGGUAGUGGCGGACCCUCUCGGAGCCUCCUUUGCGUAGUAACUUUUGUCUCGCACUGGGAUUCGGAGGGACUCUAGCCGUUAAACCCCCAAUUUUCCAAAGGUUGACCUCGGAUCAGGUAGGAAUACCCGCUGAACUUAAGCAUAUCAAUAAGCGGAGGAAAAGAAACCAACAGGGAUUGCCCCAGUAACGGCGAGUGAAGCGGCAACAGCUCAAAUUUGAAAUCUGGCCCUUGGGCCCGAGUUGUAAUUUGCAGAGGAUGCUUUUGGCGCGGUGCCUUCCAAGUUCCCUGGAACGGGACGCCUUAGAGGGUGAGAGCCCCGUACGGUUGGACACCAAGUCUUUGUAAAGCUCCUUCGACGAGUCGAGUAGUUUGGGAAUGCUGCUCUAAAUGGGAGGUAUAUUUCUUCUAAAGCUAAAUACCGGCCAGAGACCGAUAGCGCACAAGUAGAGUGAUCGAAAGAUGAAAAGCACUUUGAAAAGAGGGUUAAACAGCACGUGAAAUUGUUAAAAGGGAAGCGCUUGUGACCAGACUUGCGCCCGGUGAAUCACCCAGCUCUCGCGGCUGGGGCACUUUGCCGGCUCAGGCCAGCAUCAGCUUGCCGUCGGGGACAAAAGCUUCGGGAACGUAGCUCUCUUCGGGGAGUGUUAUAGCCCGUUGCACAAUACCCUUCGGCGGGCUGAGGUACGCG